GUUGGGAAAGGAAAACCCGGAAGGAAGAACCGGAGGAAAGAGGAGAGCCAUUUUGGGGCAGGAAAGGCGAGGAGAAGAAGGGAUCUCCUGGUGGUGAGAAGAAGAAAAGCAAGAGGAAAACGGUGGCUCCCCAUCAAGUCCCCCCUCCUGCCUUUUGAGUCCUUUGAGAUGUUUGCAGGGGGUGGAAGGAUGCCAACAACUAGGAUUCCGUCAUCUCUUCCUUGUGAUGGAACAGAACCUGAUGAGGAUCCAGUGACCUUUGAGGAGGUGGCCGUG